UAAGGAGUCAGCUAGAUUUUGACCUUGCUUAUACAGUGUGUCUGUAACCAUAGGGAAUCUGAGAUCUUUCUGGUGAGCAGGAAGAUUUAGUAUCUGCUCAGUGAGAAUUCAUAGGCUGAGAUCCUUCUGCCAAUAAAUCUUGAUAUUCAUCUGGCCUAAUGCUCUAUGGAGCUAAAGCAGAGAAUUCUUGAGGCAAAAAAUAAAAAGAUGGUUUGACUCACUGUAAGUGGUACAGAAUGAAGUAAUUCAGAAGGAGAAAAAAGCCAUUCUGCUUUCUGCUUUUCUCAUGGGUUGUGUGGUAAAUAAAUGACGUAGCGUUGUGCCUCCAUACAAAGUGUGGUUUUUUUGCAAGUCAAUAUGUUUUACAUUAUACAGAGCUUCCUGAUGUGAAAUUUACUGUUUCAGCCACGCCUUUCACCAUCCAAAAAAAAAAAAAAAAAAAAAAAAAGUGCUAAAAAUGUAGCCACAGUUAUGCACAGAAAGCUGGUGAGGGCCAAAUGUACUUGGCCAAGAGUGGCUGGGGAAGAGUCCAAGAGAAUCUCAGGACCACGCAGCUCUGCCCAGAGCAAUGAACCAGAAGCCUGUCAUAAAACGGCUAUAUCUGAAAAAAGACAAAUAUGAGACAAAGAUGCAACUGGCACCAGAAACCAUGGCAACAGGAUCUGGCAGCACUGUCUCCAUCAGCAGAGGGGGACUUGGCUGGGCUGAGGUGUGACAGGGCAUGUGGUGGCCUGAGUUCUGCACAGACUGGUGUCUCUGCACCAAAAAGAGAUUUCAGGAGCAGUUGCCAAAUGGUGGAAGCUAAAAUGCCUGCCUGAGACUUCCCAAGUAUGGCAGAGAGAAAUGUCUAUUAAAAAAAAAUGCUUUCCUUUACUUUUCAAUUAUCUUUAAAUUUCUGCCAUGAUCAUCAAUUCUACCAUUGACUGCCUCCUCCAAGAGCCACCAAGAAAACAAAAUGUUCGAGUUCGCUGUCUUUUCUCUAAAAAUAACAACAUGAAAAAGCAUGAAAGUCAUAUCCUGAAGAUAUUAAGGACUCUCGUUCUGCCUGCAACGUAACUGAAAUUCUGUUGUGGGACAUAUGGAAACUGCAGUUGGGUCCCUCACUACAAGAAAGACAUUGAGGCCCUGGAAUGUGUCCAUGGAAGGGCAACAAAGGUGGUGAGGGAUCUGGAGCGCAAGUCUUAUGAGGAGCAGCUGAAGGAACUAAAAUUGUUACCUGAAGGGAGCUUGUUGCGAGCGCUGACAGACAACAGUCCUGCAGUACUAAUACGUCUGACUUGAUCAGGAUGAAGGCAGCUGAGGACAAAAAAAAUGUCUGUAGCAAGAGAGUGCACUCCUCGACCAGAAGCAACCCUACCUGGCUGACUGACGCUGCUGGAGAACUGGGAAGAAGCCG
ensembl:lncRNA